rnacentral:rRNA from 1 species
UGAAUACGAGACGCUAAGGCGUCGAAGUAGUGUAUGUCAUACUUCCAAGAAAAGCUUGCACUGUCAUAGAUAAAAAACGCCUGUACCAUAACCGACACAGGUGGGUAGGUAGAGUAUACUAAGGGGCGCGAGAUAACUCUCUCUAAGGAACUCGGCAAAAUAACUCCGUAACUUCGGGAGAAGGAGUGCCUUAUUCUUAAGGUUGCAAUAACAAGAUCCAAGCAACUGUUUAUCAAAAACACAGGUCUCCGCUAAGUCGUAAGACGAUGUAUGGGGGCUGACGCCUGCCCAGUGCCAGAAGGUUAAAGAAGCUGGUUAGCAUUUGCGAAGCUAGUAACUGAAGCCCUGGUGAACGGCGGCCGUAACGAUAACGGUCCUAAGGUAGCGAAAUUCCUUGUCGGGUAAGUUCCGACCCGCACGAAAGGCAUAAUGAUUUGGAUACUGUCUCGGAGAGGGGCUCGGUGAAAUAGACUUGUCUGUGAAGAUGCGGACUACCUGCACCAGGACAGAAAGACCCUAUGAAGCUUUACUGUAACUUGAAAUUGAAAUUGGACUUUAUUCGCGCAGUAUAGGUGGGAGGCGUUGAUUAUAAUCUUGCGGGAUUAUUGGAGCCAUUAGUGAGAUACCACUCUUGUAAUGUUAGAUUUCUAACUUUGAAUCAUUAUCUGGUCAAAGAACAGUUUCAGGCGGGCAGUUUGACUGGGGCGGUCGCCUCCUAAACGGUAACGGAGGCGUACAAAGGUUUCCUCUGAACGGUUAGAAAUCGUAUCUAGAGUGUAAAGGCAUAAGGAAGCUUGACUGUGAGACCUACAAGUCGAGCAGGGACGAAAGUCGGUCUUAGUGAUCUGACGGUACUGAGUGGAAAGGCCGUCACUCAACGGAUAAAAGUUACUCUAGGAUAACAGGCUGAUCUCCCCCAAGAGUUCACAUCGACGGGGAGGUUUGGCACCUCGAUGUCGGCUCAUCGCAUCCUGGGGCGGUAGUACGUCCCAAGGGUUGGGCUGUUCGCCCAUGAAAGCGGUACGCGAGCUGGGUUCAGAACGUCGUGAGACAGUUCGGUCCAUAUCCGGUGUAGGCGUUAGAAUAUUGAGAGGAGCCUUCUUUAGUACGAGAGGACCGAGAAGGACAUACCUCUGGUGUACCAGUUAUCGUGCCAACGGUAAACGCUGGGUAGCUAUGUAUGGAGUGGAUAACCGCUGAAAGCAUCUAAGUGGGAAGCCCACCUCAAGAUAAG